AGAGUUUGAUCCUGGCUCAGAUUGAACGCUGGCGGCAUGCCUUACACAUGCAAGUCGAACGGCAGCACGGGUGCGUAACACGUGGGCAAUCUGCCCUCCGAUGGGGAAUAACCCCGCGAAAGCGGGGCUAAUACCGCAUAACAUUCCUUGAGCGAUGGUUUGAGGAUUCAAAGCAGUGAUGCGUCGGAGGAGGAGCCCGC
rnacentral:rRNA from 1 species